CCUACGGGAGGCAGCAGUGAGGAAUAUUGGUCAAUGGUCGGGAGACUGAACCAGCCAAGCCGCGUGAGGGAUGAAGGUACAGAGUAUCGUAAACCUCUUUUGUCAGGGAACAAAGGCGGGGACGUGUCCCCGGAUGAGUGUACCUGAAGAAAAAGCAUCGGCUAACUCCGUGCCAGCAGCCGCGGUAAUACGGAGGAUGCGAGCGUUAUCCGGAUUUAUUGGGUUAAAAGGGUGCGCAGGCGGUCUGUAAAGUCAGCGGGAAAAGCCCGGGGCUCAACCCCGGCCCGCCGUUGAAACUGGCAGUAUCGAGUGGGAGAGAAGUAUGCGGAAUGCGCGGUGUAGCGGUGAACUGCAUAGAUAUCGCGCAGAACUCCGAUUGCGAAGGCAGCAUGCCGGCUCCACACUGACGCUGAGGCACGAAAGCGUGGGUAUCGAACAGGAUUAGAUACCCCUGUAGUC
rnacentral:rRNA from 1 species